rnacentral:rRNA from 1 species
UACGAGGGGUGCAAGCGUUGCUCGGAAUUAUUGGGCGUAAAGGGUAGGUAGGUGGUCUGAUUUGUCUGGGGUGAAAGCCUUGAGCUUAACUCAAGAAGUGCCCCAGAACGGUCAGACUCGAGUCCUGGAGAGGGUCGUGGAAUUCCCGGUGUAGCGGUGAAAUGCGUAGAGAUCGGGAGGAACACCAGUGGCGAAGGCGGCGACCUGGACAGGUACUGACACUCGAACUACGAAAGCGUGGGGAGCAAACAGG